rnacentral:rRNA from 1 species
GAUGAACGCUGGCGGCGUGCUUAACACAUGCAAGUCGAACGGUGAAGCCCAGCUUGCUGGGUGGAUCAGUGGCGAACGGGUGAGUAACACGUGAGCAACCUGCCCUGGACUCUGGGAUAAGCGCUGGAAACGGCGUCUAAUACUGGAUAUGAGACGUGGCCGCAUGGUCAACGUUUGGAAAGAUUUUUCGGUCUGGGAUGGGCUCGCGGCCUAUCAGCUUGUUGGUGAGGUAAUGGCUCACCAAGGCGUCGACGGGUAGCCGGCCUGAGAGGGUGACCGGCCACACUGGGACUGAGACACGGCCCAGACUCCUACGGGAGGCAGCAGUGGGGAAUAUUGCACAAUGGGCGGAAGCCUGAUGCAGCAACGCCGCGUGAGGGAUGACGGCCUUCGGGUUGUAAACCUCUUUUAGCAAGGAAGAAGCUUUUGUGACGGUACUUGCAGAAAAAGCGCCGGCUAACUACGUGCCAGCCGCCGCGGUAAUAC